GACGAACGCUGGCGGCGUGCUUAACACAUGCAAGUCGAACGGAAAGGCCCUGCUUGUGUGGGGUGCUCGAGGGGCGAACGGGUGAGUAACACGUGAGUAACCUGCCCUUGACUUGGGGAUAACUGCAGGAAACGGGGGCUAAUACCGGAUAGGAGCUCCUGCGGCAUGGGGGGGGUUGGAAAGUUUCGGCGGUUGGGGAUGGACGGGCGGCUUAUCAGCUUGUUGGUGGGGGAGUGGCUUACCAAGGCUUUGCCGGGUAGCCGGCCUGAGAGGGUGACCGGCCACAUUGGGCCUGAGAUCCGGCCCAGCCUCCUCCGGGAGGCAGCAGUGGGGAAUAUUGCACAAUGGGCGGAAGCCUGAUGCAGCAACGCCGCGUGCGGGAUGCCGGCCUUCGGGUUGUAACCCGCUUUCGCCUGUGCCGAAGCGUGAGUGACGGUACUGGGUUAAGAAGCACCGGCUAACUACGUG
rnacentral:rRNA from 1 species